GACGAACGCUGGCGGCGUGCUUAACACAUGCAAGUCGAACGGAAAGGCCCUGCUUUUGUGGGGUGCUCGAGUGGCGAACGGGUGAGUAACACGUGAGUAACCUGCCCUUGACUUUGGGAUAACUUCAGGAAACUGGGGCUAAUACCGGAUAGGAGCUCCUGCUGCAUGGUGGGGGUUGGAAAGUUUCGGCGGUUGGGGAUGGACUCGCGGCUUAUCAGCUUGUUGGUGGGGUAGUGGCUUACCCAGGCUUUGGCGGGUAGCCGGCCUGAGAGGGUGACCGGCCACAUUGGGACUGAGAUACGGCCCAGACUCCUACGGGAGGCAGCAGUGGGGAAUAUUGCACAAUGGGCGGAAGCCUGAUGCAGCAACGCCGCGUGCGGGAUGACGGCCUUCGGGUUGUAAACCGCUUUCGCCUGUGACGAAGCGUGAGUGACGGUAAUGGGUAAAGAAGCACCGGCUAACUACGUG
rnacentral:rRNA from 1 species